AUGGGUCGCCAAGCUAGUGCUGCACGGAAUGACCUCGAGCACAUGCUAUCUGACGAAAAGGAACAGCCAAAGGCCUUGCCAUUAUCACUUUUGGAAGACAUAACAGAUGGUUUCUCCGAGAACCUUCAAAUUGGCAGAGGUGGGUUUGCGGUAGUUUAUAAGGGAGUGCUUGAGAAUGGGACCAUUGCUGUGAAGAAGCUGUUUGAAAGGCUUGAUAUUCCUGAUAAUAAAUUUAAUGAAGAGAUUCGUUGUUUGAUGAAGGUGAAGCACAAAAAUAUAGUGCGUUUUUUGGGAUAUUGUGCUAACACACAAGGCGAAAUAGUAGAUCAUGCUGGAGGUGUUGUCAUGGCAGAUGUACGUCAAAGGUUGCUCUGCUUUGAGUAUGUACCUAAAGGAAGUCUUGAUGAGUAUAUCAAAGAUGCAUCUAAUGGACAUGACUGGAUUAAGACCUAUGCGAUAAUAAAUGGCAUUUGUGAAGGUUUACAUUACCUUCACCAGAAUCGUAUUCUUCACUUAGAUCUCAAGCCCGCAAAUAUUCUGCUGGAUGGCAAUAUGAUGCCAAAAAUUACUGACUUUGGGCUAUCAAGGUGCUUUGAUGAGAAGCAAACCGAAGCUAUUACCAAAAAUAUGGCUGGCACAUUAGGGUAUAUCGCACCAGAGUUUCAUAGUGGUGGAGACAUAUACACGAUCACAAAGAAGUCGGACAUAUAUAGUCUUGGUGUCAUAAUUAUAGAGAUGCUGACCGGAAAGAAGUGGUAUCCAGCAUAUCCUGAUGUUGAUAAGGUGCUUGAAAGUUGGAUGAAUAAGUUGGGGAAAUCACAGCGGGUCACACAACUGAAACAGAUACGGUUAUGCAUCGAGCUAGGGAUAGAGUGCACUGAUGGUAACCAAGCGAACAGACCAGAUACACCGGAUAUUAUCAAUAGACUUGGUGAAACAGAAAAUGCACGCAUCAUGACUGGUGUGAGUAGUUUAACGGUACCACAGGUACAAAGGGCUUUGGAAAAGCUGGAAGAUGCCACCAAGAACUUGCUUCCGAGGAGGGAUAUUGUUCAUCUCAUGAAUGAUAGUGCCGAGAAAAAUGUUACUCAUUGGCAGGGGGCAGCUAAAAAUCUUCGUGCAGCCCAAGAAUGUCUAAAUGAUAAUCAUCAUAUUGUUGCAGUCGAGUCUGGUCCAUCUAUAUCUGUUGAGGACUGUAACCUUAGAGAGGCCCAAGAAUGUCACAAUCAUAAUCUUCAUAUUUCUGCAGUCGAGUCUAGUCCAUCUAUGUCUGUUGAGGACCGCAACCUUCAAGAGGCUCUCAAGCUCAUUAAAGAUGAUCUCGUGGGCGUGAUUGGAAUAUGGGGUCCAGGUGGAGUGGGGAAAACGCACCUUUUGAACAAUAUCAAAAACUCGCUUGAUGGGAACACAACCUUUAACUAUGUUGUACAGGUGACGAUUUCAAGGGGGUGUUCGGUAGAAAAGAUCCAAACUGAUAUUGCACAACAACUCAAUCUGGAUGAAUUCAGGAAAGAUUCUGAUGUGCAAUUUAGAUGUCGUAUCAUUUAUGACUUUUUGAAAAAGAGAAGCUUUCUUAUAUUGGUAGAUGACCUUUGGGACCAAAUUGAUCUGCAAGCAGUUGGCAUACCAUAUCCCCUUGGAAUUGAAAACCAACUCAGAAGAAAAGUGGUGCUCACAACAAGAUCAAGAAAAGUCUGUGGUCAAAUGGAGGUAAGAAAAAAUAUUAAAGUAGUUUGUCUGCAGGAGGAUGAGGCAUGGCAGCUAUUCAAAGAGAAGGUCGGUCAUGAAACUUUUUCUUAUAAUCCUCGCAUUGAAGAUCUUGGAAAAGAACUUGUGAAGGAAAUGAAGGGAUUGCCAUUAGCUUUGGUAACUAUAGGUAAGACAAUGUAUGCAAAAACUGAUACGGCUAAGUGGGAAUAUGCUAUCGAAUAUAUGAAACAGUCAUGGUAUGUUAAAGAUGACCCGCUAGAUAUGGAAAGAGUUGUUUUCAGGCAGGUAAAGUUUAGUUUUGAUAGUUUACGAAACAACAUUUUGAGAAAAUGUUUCUUGACUUGUGCACUAUGGCCAGAGGAUCAGAAGAUUCCCAGAGAAAUGCUUGCUCGAUGUUGGAUCGGCUUAGGUCUAGUGGAUGAACCAGAGAUAAAAAGUUCCUACAUAACAGCAUAUAAUCUGAUGGGCGAACUUUCAGCUGCAUGUUUGUUAGAGGAAGACCAUGGAAUUAUAAUGUAUAAUGAAUAUCUUGAAAUGCAUGAUUAUGUUAAAAUGCAUGAUGUGGUUCGUGACAUGGCUUUAUGGAUCGCUUGUGGCUGCGGUAAGAAUAAUAGCAAGUGGUUUGUCCGUGCAGGAGUUGGUUGGGAUGAAAAAUUUAGCAUCCCUUGGAGUCAAGUUGAACGUGUCUCAUUGAUGAUGAAUAUGUUGUCGGAACUUCCUCCUGUCGACUCUAAUCCUUGUCACAUGAGGAUGCUAUGCCUUGGAAAUAACUUCUUGAGUAGAUUACAAUAUCAUGAAAUCAGAAAAUUCACUUCACUGACAUACCUGGAUUUGAGCUUCAGCCAGCUGCACAGGAUACCUGAAGAAUUAUGUUCCUUGGCAAACCUGGAACACCUUGAUUUAUCGGGAAAUAGUGACAUAGAAGUAGUGCCUCACUGUUUUGGAGGCCUCAUUAAGCUCAAGUUCUUGUACCUAGAAGAGACUAGGAUACAGAUGUUACCAAAGGGGGUCAUAUCUAAACUUCAAGCAUUGCUAGUAAUAGACAUCAGAACUCUUCGUCCAGUUUCUGAGGGCAUUAGAAUGCUUCUAGAGUUGGGCACCCUACCCAACUUGAAAGCAGUUGGUAUCCAUGUGGGAUGUGCAGUACUAAGAGAAGGUGCUGACCUCCCCAUCAGGUAUUUAAUUCUGGAGGAUCAUGAGACACGUGCACUCAACUUGUCUGAUAUUCUAUCACAUAACUUUGCACGAAGGACCUUGUAUGAACUAACAAUUCACAUGGCCAACUUGGAUCAAAUAAUAAUAAGACAAGAGUUGGCACUACCAAGCUGUUGUUUUGGGGCUCUCAAUCAGCUCCAAUUAUCAGAGUUUGAUAACUUAAGAGAGAUAACUUGGAUGGAAACAUGUCCAGCAUCUCUAUUCCCAAAGCUCACGUGUUUGUUUGUGGAGUACUGGCAAGAGCUAGAACACCUCUCUUGGGCGAUGUAUCUGCCUUGCCUCGAACAACUCAACAUAUUUAACUGUAAUGCGAUGCAGCAACCAUUUGUGAUGCACCAUGGUGAUAACAAGUUCGGCGAACAAGACAGUUCAAAGACAUUUCCCUGCCUCAAAUAUCUGAGAUUUUCAUGGUGCUCGUCGCUGGUCAGUAUUGGUGAUCCUGAUGUGACAUUCCCAUUCCUAGAGCGACUGGAGUUUGAACAUUGUGCAGAAUUAAAGAGUCUUCCUUUCAACAUGGACAACUUGCCAGGAAACCUGCAGUUUGUGCAGAUUGAUGUUAAAUCCUGGGAGAGAAUGAAAGGGGAAUUGGAAGAAGGGGACUUGGCAAAUGUGUGGAGCUUGGUUGCAGCUGGAGCAUGUUUGGGAAUUUCUUGA
rnacentral:rRNA from 1 species